UUGUUUUUAUAAUAUUUCUUGCACCAUAAAUCCAAAUUCCAAACCUAAAAACCCAAAAAGGCAAACCUAAACCCUAAAUAAGCAACCCUAAACCCUAAACCCCAUUUUCUAAGUCAGCCGUAAAUGUUAAAGUAACUCAACCGUAAAGUGUAACUUAAUCUUGACGUUUGGUGGGAAAAAGAUAACUGAUUCUUGAGAAAUUUUAACUCGAGACGUUUGACGUUCUAUACCUCUCUAUAUAUUGUCUCC
rnacentral:lncRNA from 1 species